CCUACGGGGGGCAGCAGUAGGGAAUCUUCCACAAUGGGCGAAAGCCUGAUGGAGCAACGCCGCGUGAGUGAAGAAGGUUUUCGGAUCGUAAAGCUCUGUUGUUGGUGAAGAAGGAUAGAGGUAGUAACUGGCCCCUAUUUGACGGUAAUCAACCAGAAAGUCACGGCUAACUACGUGCCAGCAGCCGCGGUAAUACGUAGGUGGCAAGCGUUGUCCGGAUUUAUUGGGCGUAAAGCGAGCGCAGGCGGAAAGAUAAGUCUGAUGUGAAAGCCCCCGGCUUAACCGAGGAAUUGCAUCGGAAACUG
rnacentral:rRNA from 1 species